rnacentral:lncRNA from 1 species
CCCGCCCCCUGAGACCUGGCGCCGGGCGCUUUGAGGCCCGGCUUACUCCCUUGCUGGCUCAUCCCACUGAAGAGCUAUGGCACUUCCAAUUCCUGAGCCUUUGUGAGGUUCUGCGUGUCAGUAAGCUUGCUUCCGGGCAUCACCUCCGAAAACACUUGGGUUUCAGUUUUCUCUGUGAGGCUUCUUAAGGAGUGGAGGAAAGUGGAUGUUUUCAAGAUAACGCAGCUAACAUUCAAAGAGGUUAAGUGAAUUGUCCAAAGUCACACAGCAAGCACUGGAGGCUGGAGUGCAGUGGCAUGAUCAUAACUCACUGCAGCCUUGACCGAGUGGACU